rnacentral:rRNA from 2 species
AAAUUGAAGAGUUUGAUCAUGGCUCAGAUUGAACGCUGGCGGCAGGCCUAACACAUGCAAGUCGAACGGUAACAGGAAGCAGCUUGCUGCUUUGCUGACGAGUGGCGGACGGGUGAGUAAUGUCUGGGAAACUGCCUGAUGGAGGGGGAUAACUACUGGAAACGGUGGCUAAUACCGCAUAACGUCGCAAGACCAAAGAGGGGGACCUUCGGGCCUCUUGCCAUCAGAUGUGCCCAGAUGGGAUUAGCUUGUUGGUGAGGUAACUGCUCACCAAGGCGACGAUCCCUAGCUGGUCUGAGAGGAUGACCAGCCACACUGGAACUGAGACACGGUCCAGACUCCUACGGGAGGCAGCAGUGGGGAAUAUUGCACAAUGGGCGCAAGCCUGAUGC